GGCGAACGCUGGCGGCGUGGAUUAGGCAUGCAAGUCGAACGGUAUCAUCCUUUCGGGGGUGAGAGAGUGGCGAACUGGUGAGUAACACGUAGGUUAUCUACCCUCAAGACGGGGACAACCCAGGGAAACUUGGGCUAAUACCGGAUGUGAGCAACUUUUAGUUGUUUGAAAGGUGGCGUAAGCUGUCGCUUGGGGAUGAGCCUGCGUCCUAUUAGUUAGUUGGUGAGGUAACGGCUCACCUAGGCAAUGAUAGGUAGGCGGCCUUAACGGGUGUCGCCCACACUGGGAUUGAGAUACGGCCCAGACUCCUACGGGAGGCAGCAGUCGAGAAUAGUCUACAACGGUCGGAAGACUGAUAGUGCGACGCCGCGUGAACGAUGAAUCCCUUCGGGGUGUAAAGUUCUUUUAUAUGUGAGCAGUGCUUCUUAUAUUAACAGUUAUGGGGAAGAGAUAUUAGCAUAUGAAUAAGCAACGGCUAACUCCGUGCCAGCAGCCGCGGUAAGCACG
rnacentral:rRNA from 1 species